UACGUAGGAGACAAGCGUUGUCCGGAAUUACUGGGUGUAAAGCGCGUGUAGGCGGUAGGCCAAGUCUGCUGUGAAAUCGCCCGGCUCAACUGGGCGCGGUCGGUGGAAACUGGUCAACUGGAGGACGGUAGAGGCGAGUGGAAUUCCCGGUGUAGUGGUGAAAUGCGUAGAGAUCGGGAGGAACACCAGUGGCGAAGGCGGUUCUCUGGGAAUGUCCUGACGCUGAGGAGCGAAAGUGUGGGGAGCGAACAGG
rnacentral:rRNA from 1 species